rnacentral:rRNA from 1 species
UUACACGACCGUACCGCAAACCGACACUGGUGCGCGAGAUGAGUAUUCUAAGGCGCUUGAGAGAACUCAGGAGAAGGAACUCGGCAAAUUGACACCGUAACUUCGGAAGAAGGUGUGCCUUUAGUAGGUGAACCUGUACAAGGGGAGCCCAAUGAGGUUGCAAAAAAUCGGUGGCUGCGACUGUUUAAUAAAAACACAGCACUCUGCAAACACGAAAGUGGACGUAUAGGGUGUGACGCCUGCCCGGUGCUGGAAGAUUAAAUGAUGGGGUGCAAGCUCUUGAUUGAAGUCCCAGUAAACGGCGGCCGUAACAAUAACGGUCCUAAGGUAGCGAAAUUCCUUGUCGGGUAAGUUCCGACCUGCACGAAUGGCGUAACGAUGGCCACACUGUCUCCUCCUGAGACUCAGCGAAGUUGAAAUGUUUGUGAUGAUGCAAUCUCCCCGCGGAAAGACGGAAAGACCCCAUGAACCUUUACUGUAGCUUUGUAUUGGACUUUGAACAGAUCUGUGUAGGAUAGGUGGGAGGCUUUGAAGUGUGGUCGCUAGAUCGCAUGGAGCCAACGUUGAAAUACCACCCUGGUGUGUUUGAGGUUCUAACCUAGGCCCGUAAUCCGGGUCGGGGACAGUGCAUGGUAGGCAGUUUGACUGGGGCGGUCUCCUCCCAAAGCGUAACGGAGGAGUUCGAAGGUACGCUAGGUACGGUCGGACAUCGUGCUAAUAGUGCAAUGGCAUAAGCGUGCUUAACUGCGAGACUGACAAGUCGAGCAGAUGCGAAAGCAGGACAUAGUGAUCCGGUGGUUCUGUAUGGAAGGGCCAUCGCUCAACGGAUAAAAGGUACUCUGGGGAUAACAGGCUGAUACCGCCCAAGAGUUCAUAUCGACGGCGGUGUUUGGCACCUCGAUGUCGGCUCAUCUCAUCCUGGGGCUGUAGCCGGUCCCAAGGGUAUGGCUGUUCGCCAUUUAAAGAGGUACGUGAGCUGGGUUUAAAACGUCGUGAGACAGUUUGGUCCCUAUCUUCCGUGGGCGCUGCAGAUUUGAGGAAGCCUGCUCCUAGUACGAGAGGACCGGAGUGGACACACCUCUGGUGUAUCGGUUGUCACGCCAGUGGCAUUGCCGAGUAGCUAUGUGUGGAAGAGAUAACCGCUGAAAGCAUCUAAGCGGGAAACUCGUUUCAAGAUGAGAUCUGCCGGGGCCUUGAGCCCCCUAAAGAGUCGUUCAAGACCAGGACGUUGAUAGGUCGGGUGUGGAAGCGCAGUAAUGCGUUAAGCUAACCGAUACUAAUUGCUCGUGCGGCUUGACC